UACGAAGGUGGCAAGCGUUGUUCGGAUUUACUGGGCGUACAGGGAGCGUAGGCGGUUGGAUAAGCCCUCCGUGAAAUCUCCAGGCUUAACCUGGAAAGUGCAGAGGGGACUGUUCAGCUAGAGGAUGGGAGAGGAGCGCGGAAUUCCCGGUGUAGCGGUGAAAUGCGUAGAGAUCGGGUGGAACACCAGCGGCGAAGGCGGCAUCCUGGCCCUGUACUGACGCUGAGGCGCGAUAGCGUGGGGAGCAAACGGG
rnacentral:rRNA from 1 species